rnacentral:lncRNA from 1 species
AACCCAAAACCAAGUGCAUUUCUUCUCGUAGAAGUUAGUAAAGCGCUACAACCAGGUUCCCACCUGUUCCUCUUCCCGCACCGCAUUAGCGCGAGAGCAGGAACUGCAAGGAGGAAACCCUCCCAGGGCAGCUUAUUCCAAAGGGCCGACGGACCGCCGCGCGCCGCCUCUCCAUCCGGGGUCCUCUCGGUCGCCGGCGGGAGCGCGCACGCCGCCUCCCCCGCCCCCAGGCCGACGGCGCCGUCGAGUCACGUGCCCGGCGCGCCUCCGCGGCGGCGCGUCCCGGGCGGAAGUGAGGUCGGCGGCGCGGCGGCUGCGCAGCGUCGGCGGGGCGCGCGGGCUGCGGAGAGGCGGGCCGGGCGCGGAGCAGGGGAGUGGGCCGCGGCGGCGGCGGCGACUGGCCCUCGCGGCUCGGCCCCCGCAUCGGAGCAGGCCUCCGCGGCGCUCGCCCCGGGCCGGCGCGCUGGUCAGCGAGGCCCAGGCCGCCCGCCGCGGCGCGGGGAGCGAGUGAGUGCGGGCGGGGCGGGCGGGUGCCCUCGGGCUCGGCGCGCGGCCCGGCGGCCCGGCCGGAAGUGCAGCGCUUUGUGCGGCCGGGGCGGCGCCGAUGCCGGGCCCGUGCGAGCCCGAGCGACCCCGUGGGGAACUGUGCGAGGGGAGCGGCGGGGUGCGGUGCUGCCGCCCGGCUGUGGACGCCCACGAGCGCGUGCGCGAGGCGCCGUGCCUGCCGCACGUGCGCGCCGCCCGCCCGGCCGAGCCGGUGGCGCUCGGGCGCCUCAGCCGGGCUGUUUCCGAGAGGGCCCUCGGGCCCGCGCGGGCGCUCGGAGCGAGCGGCGGGCGGCUGGGGCGCGCGCGCCGCGUUGCUCUUGUGGCGCGCGUCCGCUUGCUGCGGGUUGUAGGGUUCGUGCUGCGUUGAGGUCGGGCGGAGAAGUAGCUUGGAGUAUGUUAGCGUGCGAGGAAACUCGUAAAAUGACAAAGUUUGUCUGGUUCCCACUCCUCAAACUCUCAAGUCAUCUCUGUGUAAUUUGA